rnacentral:rRNA from 1 species
UAUAGGUGGGAGGCGUUGAUUAUAAUCUUGCGGGAUUAUUGGAGCCAUCAGUGAGAUACCACCCUUGUAAUGUUAGAUUUCUAACUUUGAAUCAUUAUCUGGUCAAAGAACAGUUUCAGGCGGGCAGUUUGACUGGGGCGGUCGCCUCCUAAACGGUAACGGAGGCGUACAAAGGUUUCCUCUGAACGGUUAGAAAUCGUAUCUAGAGUGUAAAGGCAUAAGGAAGCUUGACUGUGAGACCUACAAGUCGAGCAGGGACGAAAGUCGGUCUUAGUGAUCUGACGGUACUGAGUGGAAAGGCCGUCACUCAACGGAUAAAAGUUACUCUAGGGAUAACA